rnacentral:rRNA from 1 species
UGGGGAAUAUUGCACAAUGGGGGAAACCCUGAUGCAGCGACGCCGCGUGAGUGAAGAAGUAUUUCGGUAUGUAAAGCUCUAUCAGCAGGGAAGAAAUUGACGGUACCUGACUAAGAAGCCCCGGCUAACUACGUGCCAGCAGCCGCGGUAAUACGUAGGGGGCAAGCGUUAUCCGGAUUUACUGGGUGUAAAGGGAGCGUAGGUGGCAUAUCAAGUCAGAUGUGAAAGCCCGGGGCUCAACCCCGGAUUGGCAUUUGAAACUGGUAUGCUAGAGUGCAGGAGAGGUAAGUGGAAUUCCUAGUGUAGCGGUGAAAUGCGUAGAUAUUAGGAGGAACACCAGUGGCGAAGGCGGCUUACUGGACUGUAACUGACACUGAGGCUCGAAAAGCGUGGGGAGCAAACA